rnacentral:rRNA from 1 species
UUGUGCCAGCAGCCGCGGUAAUACGAAGGGGGCUAGCGUUGCUCGGAAUCACUGGGCGUAAAGGGCGCGUAGGCGGCCAUUUAAGUCGGGGGUGAAAGCCUGUGGCUCAACCACAGAAUUGCCUUCGAUACUGGGUGGCUUGAGUCCGGAAGAGGUUGGUGGAACUGCGAGUGUAGAGGUGAAAUUCGUAGAUAUUCGCAAGAACACCGGUGGCGAAGGCGGCCAACUGGUCCGGAACUGACGCUGAGGCGCGAAAGCGUGGGGAGCAAACAGGAUUAGAU